CUCUCUAAAUUAUUAAAAAAACUAAGACCAAAACAAGGGAAAUGUGUGAU
rnacentral:misc_RNA from 1 species